rnacentral:rRNA from 1 species
CCUACGGGUGGCUGCAGUGGGGAAUAUUGGACAAUGGGGGGAACCCUGAUCCAGCCAUGCCGCGUGUGUGAAGAAGGCCCUCGGGUUGUAAAGCACUUUCAGUGAGGAAGAACGCCUGGUGGUUAAUACCCAUCAGGAAAGACAUCACUCACAGAAGAAGCACCGGCUAACUCCGUGCCAGCAGCCGCGGUAAUACGGAGGGUGCGAGCGUUAAUCGGAAUUACUGGGCGUAAAGCGCGCGUAGGUGGCUUGAUAAGCCGGUUGUGAAAGCCCCGGGCUCAACCUGGGAACGGCAUCCGGAACUGUUAAGCUAGAGUGCAGGAGAGGAAGGUAGAAUUCCCGGUGUAGCGGUGAAAUGCGUAGAGAUCGGGAGGAAUACCAGUGGCGAAGGCGGCCUUCUGGACUGACACUGACACUGAGGUGCGAAAGCGUGGGUAGCAAACAGGAUUAGAUACCCCUGUAGUC